AUUGAACGCUGGCGGCAGGCCUAACACAUGCAAGUCGAGCGGAUGAAGGGAGCUUGCUCCUGGAUUCAGCGGCGGACGGGUGAGUAAUGCCUAGGAAUCUGCCUGGUAGUGGGGGAUAACGUCCGGGAACGGGCGCUAAUACCGCAUACGUCCUGAGGGAGAAAGUGGGGGAUCUUCGGACCUCACGCUAUCAGAUGAGCCUAGGGCGGAUUAGCUAGUUGGUGGGGUAAAGGCCUACCAAGGCGACGAUCCGUAACUGGUCUGAGAGGAUGAUCAGUCACACUGGCACUGAGACACGGUCCCGACUCCUACGGGAGGCAGCAGUGGGGAAUAUUGGACAAUGGGGGAAUGCCUGAUCCAGCCAUGCCGCGUGUGUGAAGAAGGUCUUCGGAUUGUAAAGCACUUUAAGUUGGGAGGAAGGGCAGUAAGUUAAUACCUUGCUGUUUUGACGUUACCAACAGAAUAAGCACCGGCUAACUUCGUG
rnacentral:rRNA from 1 species